CCUACGGGUGGCAGCAGUAGGGAAUAUUGCACAAUGGGGGAAACCCUGAAGCAGCAACGCCGCGUGGAUGAAGAAGGUUUUCGGAUUGUAAACUCCUUUUGUCAGAGAAGAUAAUGACGGUAUCUAACGAAUAAGCACCGGCUAACUCCGUGCCAGCAGCCGCGGUAAUACGGAGGGUGCAAGCGUUACUCGGAAUCACUGGGCGUAAAGAGAGCGUAGGCGGGAUCGCAAGUCAGGUGUGAAAUCCUAGGGCUUAACCAUGGAACUGCACUUGAAACUGUUAUUCUUGAGUGUAGGAGAGGUAGGUGGAAUUCCUGGUGUAGGGGUGAAAUGCGUAGAGAUCAGGAGGAAUACUGGUGGCGAAGGCGACCUGCUGGAACGUAACUGACGCUGAGGCGCGAAAGCGUGGGGAGCAAACAGGAUUAGAUACCCGAGUAGUC
rnacentral:rRNA from 1 species